UCCAAAAUUGAUGUAGAAAUAUUUGAUUAAUAAUUAGGAAAGUAUGAUUUACUCUCGUCAUAGUUCAUUGCAUGCCCACUUUCGUCCUCUAUUAUAAAAAAUACCACUCUUCCUCCUAAGACAAGGUCCCAUGAUAAAAAGUACCAAAUUGCCCUCUCUUGAAAAAACACCUAGACAACCCUAGCUCUGAAAUUGCAACAAACCCAAAGCCACCAAAUGCAAAACCCCAGAAGCCCCUACCUCAACAAAAUCAAACUCGCUCCACCCACUCGUCAUUGCCGACGCAAGUGCAUGCGAUUGCAAGACGUUCACAACCUCGAUCCAGGGUCACCGGGCUCGCACAACCUUGAAUCUAGGUUUUGGAAGCCAUGGACGAUCCGAGGAUGUCCAUGGCGGAUGGCGACCUCAGAUCAAGACAACUACUGAGGCAAGGGAAGCGAGGUGGUUAGGAGGAUGUGCACUCAUCACUUGAGCAAGAGAAGGAUGUAACAGAAAGUCAAUGCCAUGGAUUUUACAAGGCUGUUUGAUAGUUCAGACGGGCAAGAGAUGACAACGACAAAAUAUUUUUGAACUCAUUAUUGCCUUCCCCAGAAAGGGCCUCCCUAAGAUCCAAAACCCAUGUUAUAUAAUCAGGUUUCAUGACCAUUCACCAUUUUAACAUUCAUGCUCAGUAGAUUCAAUUCGGCUAGGCUUCCUUGUGCCGAACCCUCAUGGCGUCGAGAUAAGCUUUGCCCUGCAGCUUGCUCGUUAGAUAGCCCCUCAGAUGUUCUGCCGCCGAUAUCCUCCUGAACAAUGCUGGGGUCUCCGGGGUGAUGAGGCUCGGCGCGGGACCUAUCUCAGCAUCCAUUCUUGGACUGGAGAAGGUUGCGAUGGAGACCCUUUCCUUCACUGCAUUCACCGUUGCCCGAUGCUCGAUGCUCUGGUAAAUCCCAUUUGUUAUAAUCUGCUAUAAGCCAACGAAGGGAAGGCCUUGAGUAUUAGACAAUGAAUUAUCGUGAGUAUGGUCAAAUGUGUUAGUUGAUGUUGCAAUACUAUUACCUCAACGACGUCUCCAACAUUGAUGAUGAAAGCACCAGGGAGAGGUUUCACAGGAACCCACUUCCCAUCUUUCCUUAUCUGGAGGCCCUCCAUUUCAUUGACCUGGAGGAGAAUGGUAAUCGCAUCAGCAUCGGAGUGAGAGUUGAGGCCUAUUACAAGCUCGGGUUGUGGACAUGGUGGGUAAUAGUUCAUCCUCAUCCCUUGCAACCCGCCUUCAAACAUCCCCUCAAGGUCCUUCGCCUCCAUUCCUAAUGCCUUCGCCAUGAGGUAGAGGAGCUUUAUCGCUAGAGUUUGCAUUUCCUUCGAGUAGGUGUCCAGAUCGUCUCUAGCAUGUGGAUAAUUUCAUUCUUUAGGCAAUAAGAAGAUAUCUUGGAACAUGCCACGCACUAAACCCUCAACAAGAAGAAAGUUGUUCAUGUAGCGAUCACAUCAAGUGUUAUGCUGAUGCAGUAUCACUCACCUAAUCAAGUGAUCUCCUAUUUUAUA